GAGGGCGAGUCUUUUAUCAAUCACUUUCCUGGGCCAUUUAGGUAGUCACGAAUGCAUCCCCAAUUGCAAAGGCCAAAGGCCGGAACAAUCUUGUCAGUUCACUCGUUUCAAGAUGCCUGAAGCACCUGGACUUCAGGUAACUGGGAGGCUAAUGCCUGAUGCAUGAGAUUUAAGAGAAGAGGCAAAAUCAACCUUGGUCCCGAGACAGGAACAGCACAUGAGACAUCUUUCCACAUGGAUUGGUAGUUUUAUCAAGUGGAAUUUAAUCCCCCCAAAUCAAGAGGAUUAUUUUGGGUAAGUCAUUAAAAUUAUUAAUUAAAAUGUUGGUGUCGGAUUGCCUUUAUUCUUGUUUGUAAGAUUUCUCUCGGCGUCCAGCCUGCCCCUGGCUCCCCUGUGACUCCAUGCUAAAU